rnacentral:tRNA from 1 species
GCCUUGGUAGCUCAGUCGGUAGAGCAGGGGACUGAAAAUCCCCGUGUCGGUGGUUCGAGUCCGCCCUACGGCACCA